rnacentral:snRNA from 1 species
GUACUCGCUUCGGCGGUACAUACACUAAAAUUGGAACGAUAAAGAGAUUAGCAUGGCCCCUGCGCAAGGAUGACAAGCAAAAGCGUGAAGCGUUCCAUAUUCUU